GAGAUGGCCUCUCGCCCUAUUCAGUGUAACAGCUGUGGUAGUGGGUUUGGUCGCUCGCAUUUAAAUUGGAAGGGUAAUGGUGGACCGCACUUCUCCCUUAGUAGGACGUUGCGACCUGUCAAAUAAUAUCCUAAGUAUUUGGCUAAUUUGUCUGUUUUUAGGCAGUACUGAAAGGUAUUUCCUUUAACAGUUUUAGCCGUUUACAUACUGGAUAUAAUUGACAGUAACGAAUCAUGGUGUUGAGCCACUUACUUUGUAAGUGUCCUUUAUGGCUGUUUGCAAGUGGGUUGGUUAAUUAGUUUUAGUCGGAUUUUGGUCCGUCUAACUAUUCCGCCUACUGUUGGUAAACUGUUCCUUGGACAGUGCUUAUAACACCGGUCGGCAGCGAUUCAGGUUCAGGCUCUUAUCCGACCCGUCUUGAAACACGGACCAAGGAGUUUAGCGUGUACGCAAGUCAUUGGGUGUAUAAAACCCAAAGGCGCAAUGAAAUUGAAA
rnacentral:rRNA from 1 species